CAGCCGCCGCGGUAAAACGGAGGUGGCAAGCGUUGUCCGGAAUCAUUGGGCGUAAAGGGCUCGCAGGCGGUUUCUUAAGUCUGAUGUGAAAGCCCCCGGCUCAACCGGGGAGGGUCAUUGGAAACUGGGAAACUUGAGUGCAGAAAAGGAGAGUGGAAUUCCACGUGUAGCGGUGAAAUGCGUAGAGAUGUGGAGGAACACCAGUGGCGAAGGCGGCCAUCUGAGACAACACUGACGCUGAGGCACGAAAGCGUGGGGAGCAAACAGGAUUAGAGACCCGCGUAGUCCCUGUCUCUUAUAC
rnacentral:rRNA from 1 species